AGAGUUUGAUCCUGGCUCAGGACGAACGCUGGCGGCGUGCUUAACACAUGCAAGUCGAGCGGAAAGGCCCUUCGGGGUACUCGAGCGGCGAACGGGUGAGUAACACGUGAGUAACCUGCCCCAGACUUUGGGAUAACCCUCGGAAACGGGGGCUAAUACCGAAUACGACUUGGACUCGCAUGGGUCUUGGUGGAAAGUUUUUCGGUUUGGGAUGGGCUCGCGGCCUAUCAGCUUGUUGGUGGGGUGAUGGCCUACCAAGGCGACGACGGGUAGCCGGCCUGAGAGGGCGACCGGCCACACUGGGACUGAGACACGGCCCAGACUCCUACGGGAGGCAGCAGUGGGGAAUAUUGCACAAUGGGCGGAAGCCUGAUGCAGCGACGCCGCGUGAGGGAUGACGGCCUUCGGGUUGUAAACCUCUUUCAGCAGGGACGAAGCGCAAGUGACGGUACCUGCAGAAGAAGCGCCGGCCAACUACGUGCCAGCAGCCGCGGUAAGACGUAGGGCGCGAGCGUUGUCCGGAUUUAUUGGGCGUAAAGAGCUCGUAGGCGGCUUGUCGCGUCGACCGUGAAAACUUGGGGCUCAACCCCAAGCCUGCGGUCGAUACGGGCAGGCUCGAGUUCGGUAGGGGAGACUGGAAUUCCUGGUGUAGCGGUGAAAUGCGCAGAUAUCAGGAGGAACACCGGUGGCGAAGGCGGGUCUCUGGGCCGAUACUGACGCUGAGGAGCGAAAGCGUGGGGAGCGAACAGGAUUAGAUACCCUCGUAGUCC
rnacentral:rRNA from 1 species